rnacentral:rRNA from 1 species
UACGUAGGAAGCGAGCGUUGUUCGGAAUUACUGGGCGUAAAGAGUGUGUAGGCGGUGCUCUAAGUUCGGUGUGAAAUCUCCCGGCUUAACUGGGAGGGUGCGCCGGAAACUGGAGUGCUCGAGCGUGGGAGAGGAAAGCGGAAUUCCUGGUGUAGCGGUGAAAUGCGUAGAUAUCAGGAGGAACACCUGCGGUGUAGACGGCUUUCUGGACCAUUGCUGACGCUGAGACACGAAAGCGUGGGUAGCAAACAGG